rnacentral:siRNA from 1 species
UAGCAUUUGUUUUAACAAACAUAU